rnacentral:rRNA from 1 species
GAUGAACGCUGGCGGCGUGCCUAAUACAUGCAAGUAGAACGCUGAAGGAAGGAGCUUGCUCUUUCCGGAUGAGUUGCGAACGGGUGAGUAACGCGUAGGUAACCUGCCUGGUAGCGGGGGAUAACUAUUGGAAACGAUAGCUAAUACCGCAUAACAGUAGAUGUUGCAUGACAACUAUUUGAAAGGGGCAAUUGCUCCACUACCAGAUGGACCUGCGUUGUAUUAGCUAGUUGGUGAGGUAACGGCUCACCAAGGCGACGAUACAUAGCCGACCUGAGAGGGUGAUCGGCCACCAUGGGACUGGGACACGGCCCAGACCCCUACGGGAGGCAGCAGUAGGGAAACCUCGGGAAUGGACGGAAGUCUGAACGGGCAACGCCGCGGGAGUGAAGAAGGGUUUCGGAUCGUAAAGCUCCGUUGUAAGAGAAGAACGAGUGUGAGAGUGGAAAGUUCACACUGUGACGGUAGCUUACCAGAAAGGGACGGCUAACUACGUG